UACUCCCCAGGCGGAGUGCUUAUUGCGUUUACUGCGGCACUGAGGGGGUCGAUACCCCCAACACCUAGCACUCAUCGUUUACGGCGUGGACUACCAGGGUAUCUAAUCCUGUUCGCUCCCCACGCUUUCGCGCCUCAGUGUCAGUUACAGGCCAGGAAGCCGCCUUCGCCACUGGUGUUCCUCCUAAUAUCUACGCAUUUCACCGCUACACUAGGAAUUCCGCUUCCCUCUCCUGCACUCAAGUCUGCCAGUUUCAGUAGCAAUCUCCAGGUUGAGCCCGGAGUUUUCACUCCUGACUUGGCAAACCACCUACUCGCCCUUUACGCCCAGUCAUUCCGGACAACGUUUGCCCCCUACGUAUUACCGCGGCUGCUGGCACGUAGUUAGCCGGGGCUUCCUCUUACUGUACCGUCAUUUCUCCCCACUAUUCGCAAGGAGAACGUUCGUCCAAUAUCACAGAGCUUUACAACCCGAAGGCCUUCUUCGCUCACGCGGCGUUGCUCCGUCAGGCUUUCGCCCAU
rnacentral:rRNA from 1 species